AUGUCAGCUCUCCGUCUGUGCAAGGGAGCCGUCGAGUCGUCGCCGCCGGGGUGCCGGUGCUGGUCGGGAUGCUCGAGGUCGAGGAACCUUGUCGCCGCUGCUGCCGCGUCCUCCUGCGCCCCGAGAGGGGCUGCCGCCGUCGCGUGCUGCCGGAACAAGCAGCAGGGGAGCUUCCGCUUGGUGCGUGCGGCUCCUUCCUUCGGCAGAAGCAGCAGGGGGAUGCAAUGGGCCAUCAAGACUAUGGCAGACGACAAUCCAGACAAUUCUGGCAAUAGCACUCGGCUGUUUAAUGCAAUUCAAUCUUUUUUAAAGAAGUUGUCUGGCAAGCUGAAGAAAGUAAGUAGAGGGUUUCCAGUAAAGAUCCUAUUCUUCCUGAUAGGAUUUUACUGUGCCACGGCAUUUGCUACCGUCAUCGGGCAAACAGGCGACUGGGACAUACUUUCUGCCGGCCUUGCUGUUGCCAUCGUCGAGGUUAUUGGCGCUCUCAUGUACAGGGCUUCCUUUGCGCUUCUUGGCAGGAUGAAGAAUAUGAUUUCCAUAUUCAAUUACUGGAAAGCCGGGCUCACGCUUGGAUUGUUCUUGGAUUCGUUCAAAUUUUAG
rnacentral:rRNA from 1 species